CGAAGAUCCUGGCUCAGAUUGAACGCUGGCGGCAGGCUUAACACAUGCAAGUCGAGCGGUAACAGAUCUAGCUUGCUAGAUGCUGACGAGCGGCGGACGGGUGAGUAAUGCAUAGGAAUCUGCCCGGUAGUGGGGGAUAACCUGGGGAAACCCAGGCUAAUACCGCAUACGCCCUACGGGGGAAAGCAGGGGCUCUUCGGACCUUGCGCUAUCGGAUGAGCCUAUGUCGGAUUAGCUAGUGGGUAGGGUAAUGGCCUACCAAGGCGACGAUCCGUAGCUGGUCUGAGAGGAUGAUCAGCCACAUCGGGACUGAGACACGGCCCGAACUCCUACGGGAGGCAGCAGUGGGGAAUAUUGGACAAUGGGGGCAACCCUGAUCCAGCCAUGCCGCGUGUGUGGAGAAGGCCUUCGGGUUGUAAAGCACUUUCAGCGAGGAAGAAAGCCUGGUGGCCAAUACCCGCCAGGAAGGACAUCACUCGCAGAAGAAGCACCGGCUAACUCCGUGCCAGCAGCCGCGGUAAUACGGAGGGUGCGAGCGUUAAUCGGAAUUACUGGGCGUAAAGCGCGCGUAGGUGGCUUGAUAAGCCGGUUGUGAAAGCCCUGGGCUCAACCUGGGAACGGCAUCCGGAACUGUCAGGCUAGAGUGCAGGAGAGGAAGGUAGAAUUCCCGGUGUAGCGGUGAAAUGCGUAGAGAUCGGGAGGAAUACCAGUGGCGAAGGCGGCCUUCUGGACUGACACUGACACUGAGGUGCGAAAGCGUGGGGAGC
rnacentral:rRNA from 1 species